AGAGUUUGAUUAUGGCUCAGGACGAACGCUGGCGGCGCGCCUAACACAUGCAAGUCGAACGGAGCUUAGAGAGCUUGCUUUUUAAGCUUAGUGGCGAACGGGUGAGUAACGCGUGAGUAACCUGCCCUAGAGUGGGGGACAACAGUUGGAAACGACUGCUAAUACCGCAUAAGCCCACGGUGCCGCAUGACACUGAGGGAAAAGGAUUUAUUCGCUUUAGGAUGGACUCGCGUCCAAUUAGCUAGUUGGUGAGGUAACGGCCCACCAAGGCGACGAUUGGUAGCCGGACUGAGAGGUUGAACGGCCACAUUGGGACUGAGACACGGCCCAG
rnacentral:rRNA from 1 species